GGGCGGCCCAAUUUUCUCUUUAAAUAGGAGUAAUUUUUGUGAAUCCCAAAUCUCAUUCGCUUGUUCUCUCUCUCUCUCUUCCAUGUAGAGAGAAAAUUGUAAAGCUUCUCCCAAGAUUCAUACAAAGGAAGGGAUGCAGCCAUGGCUACCUUCCACAUAAAAAGGAAUCUAUAUUUAUGGAGCAUCAUAAAUAAUACCUUAUUCAAAAGCUUUGGAGCUACCAGUAAUAAUAAAGGCUUCUACUCAACCUUAAAUUGGCCCUAUCCCAUCUGAGCUUUUUUUUUUAACUAUUAUUAUAGUAAUAAAAAUAAUUAUGAUAUAAAUAGGAUAAGAUUAUUUAUAGGGUACCAUCGUGACCAUUCAUUCAAAGUGUACAACUAUGAUAAAUGGCUAGAAUCGUAAUGUACAAUCUUAAUGAAUGAUCAUGAUUGUACUUUAUUAGUAAAGUAUGACUUAUCCUAUAAGACCUAGUUUUCUUGACCUUGUAAGACCCAACUCCAACUUCUCUAAUAUUUCUUUAUGUUGAAGUUGAAGUUGCUAUCUUAUCAAUUAUCAUUUUCUUUUCCUACCCACCUCACUCUCCUUCACUAUCUAUCCCUCCUGAGCUGUAAAUCCAAUUAAAUAUUGCAUGGAUAUAUGUUAAUUAAGCCUUUUGUUUUGGUUAAUUAUCCCUUAAACCCAUCGAUCAUCAUGCAUUUAGCUAGCUAGCCCUACCAUUUUGGGUUUAUAUGUAAAGAAGUGUACUGAAGGUGUCUGAAAUGUAAAAACUUUGAUGUACAAUAAUGUAUUAAAUAUAUUAUUAAGCCUACUUUUUUUC